GGAGCUGCUGAACAUGAAAGGCAUCAGUGAAAAGUGAAACCAAAGCUGACAAAAUCCCAGUAAGGAUGUUCUGGAACUUUAACCCCAGAUAUUCCACUGGUUUAUCUCUGCUGGCUGAAAAUGUUGUGGUGAAUUUGGAAGGUCUCCAAAGGGCAGUAAAGGUGAUUGGAGUUGUGACAUGACUUGUGAUGGGAAAAGGCAAAAUGCACCAGGACAGGACUGAACUGAAGGGGAGGAUAUUUCCAUAAAACACAGAAAAGGGAUGUUGGAGAUUUUUCUUGGAGCAAAGUUUCAGCUCUGUGCAGAGGUAUCAACUCGUGUAAGGUCUGUGAAAUAUGCAUGGAAUAAUACAGGCACCUCUCCACGAGGCAGGAAAUAUUAAUUACUGGGGGUUAAUGAAUGGCAUGAGCUCUCCUGACACUGCUCAGUUGGGUUUUCCCUCAGGCUGAGGCAGCCAAACUGUUCCCAUGGGCUUCACCACGGCCACAGAAUUCCACCAGCAAUGGUCAGAGCUCAUCCAGAUCACCACUGGCUCCAAAGAGCUGGACAAGCUGCUUCAAGGAGAAACAGAAACAGGAUCCAUAAUGGAGUUAUUUGGGGAAUUCCAUACUGGGAAGAAGCAGCUGUGUCCCAGCCUGGCAGUCACUGGUCAGCUCGCCAUACACCAUGGGAGCAGCGAGGGAAAAGCCACAUCCGUGGGCACAGAGGGGACCUUCCACCCAGAGCAGCUCCUGGCCAUGGCUGAAAGGUCAGUGAGGGGAACACAGGAGUAGAUGGACUCACAGCUCAGCUGGAAAUCGUUUUCCACAGGUCCUGGAGGUUGGUCUGGCAGGUGUUCCCUUUGGAAAGCUGUGGUGUUGCCUCUCCUCUCCCAUCUUUGCUGCUCUCUCCCCACAACUCCGGUGUCAUUGUCCCUCAGCAUGAGGAAUGGUCUCUGCCAGGGCUUUAACAGUGACCGCCAGGCCCAGCUGCUGGAUCAGGCUAAAGACUGGAACUCCUUUUCCUCCCCUGCAUCCCCAGGAUGCCCUGUGUCCCUGAGAGGCUCCUUUCCUGUGGCACCUCAGGGAUGCUCCCCAGGGCAGCAGGUGGAGGAAGCUGUGGCUUCCAUUUCCAUCUACUUUUCUGCAUUUCAAUAAUUCUCUGGUAACCUGCUUUAAUGAAAAGGCUCAGGAGGAUAUUGGUGACAUGCCAGG